AUUUGCAAUUUUUAGAAAUUUUCAUGAAUUUCGUCGAAAUUUGAAUUUUUUUAAAUGCCAAUUUAACAAAAACUUAUUUAUGUUAUUUUACACCCUUCAAUUGUUCAGUAUGUUGAUGCACAUAUGAUGUACGUUAAUUUGGUGCAGGUAAAUAGACAAGACGCAAAAGAUAAUCGGUCGUUGAUGCGCAAACGAUGUACGAUAUUUUGGCACAGGUGUUUAGACGAUACGCAGGUCACUUUCCCCUGGAACACAUUAUAUAUUUUACUGUGCCUUUAAAGUUUAUGUAUUCUGUUAUUUAUUAUUUAUAAUUAUUAUGCAUAGAUAUAGGCCAG